GUCACACCCCAAAAUUUUAAUUUUGGGUUGUGCAUAGAAAACACUAAUUUAAAUAAAUGUUUUGAUAAUUGGAUAAAAUUUCCAAAGUUAGUUGAAAAUAGCAUCAAUUAGUUAUAGGAAAUAUGUGAAUCUAUAAUUUUUUUCUAAUUUUAUUUGAUAGGUUUUUGUGAUGUGAUGUGAUGCUUACUUGUUGCUUGACUCUGUGUUUUAAGUGGGUAAAGUUUUAGAGUGCCUUUAGUAAGUCGUUUAUCUUUUUACGACGUGUCUGUCAUCAAUCAAAUCCCUACGUUCCCAGUCUUAAUCUUUUCAUAUGGAGUUGCUCCGGAUCCUAAUCAUUCCUUUGAGUUCAUCUUCCAUCAACCGACCUAUUGAACCUUCUUUGGAAAUUUUCCAUCUUUUUCUAGAAUUCUUCUCAUUUUCUACC
rnacentral:lncRNA from 1 species